rnacentral:tRNA from 1 species
GCAGUAGUGGUUCAGUAGUAGAAUUCUUGCCUUCUGCGAGAGAGACCCAGGUUCCGUUCCUGGCUGAUACA